UUGGGUUUAAAGUGCGUGUAGGCGGCUGAGUAAGUCAGAUGUGAAAGCCCUAGGCUCAACCUAGGAAGGGCAUUUGAAACUGCUCAGCUAGAGUACGGGAGAGGGAAGUGGAAUUCCUGGUGUAGAGGUGAAAUUCGUAGAUAUCAGGAGGAACACCGGUGGCGAAGGCGACUUCCUGGACCGAUACUGACGCUGAGACGCGAAAGCGUGGGGAGCAAACAGGAUUAGAUACCCUAGUA
rnacentral:rRNA from 1 species